GGUAAAUAUAAUUUAAUGGUUAAAAUAAGUCAUUGUGGUUGACGCAAUCUGAGUUCAAGUCUCAGUAUUUACC